rnacentral:rRNA from 1 species
AGAGUUUGAUCCUGGCUCCAGAGUGAACGUUGCGCGACGUGGAUUAGGCACGCAAGUCGAACGCGAGAGUUCCUUCGGGAACUAGUAGCGUGGCGAAAGGGGCAGUAAUGCAUAGGUAACCUACCCUUCGGUCCGGGAUAUACGGUGGAAACGCCGGGCAAUACUGGGCAUCGUCAUUGGAUGGCAUCUUCCGAUGAUGAAAGAUUUAUCGCCGAGGGAGGGGCUUAUGUUCUACCAGCUUGUUGGUGAGGUAACGGCUCACCAAGGCUACGACGGAUAGGGGGUGUGAGAGCACGACCCCCGCCACUGGGACUGAGAUACUGCCCAGACUCCUACGGGAGGCUGCAGUCGAGAAUCUUCGGCAAUGGGGGGAACCCUGACCGAGCGACGUCGCGUGGUGGAUGAAGGCCUUCGGGUUGUAAACACCUGUUGGGGGGGAACAAUAACGAGUUGAACCCCUGAGGAAGCACGGGCUAA